rnacentral:lncRNA from 1 species
AAAAAAAUGCAUUUUACAACUUUGACUGUAGUCGAACUUUACAAUGUCAGACAUUUCAAAAUUAAUCUUCAAAAGACUGUUCACAUCAUGGUUGAUCGUUACACGCCAAAGAAUUAGUACUUUGUGCGCAGCCUCCAUUCAAACGGAUAACCGCAUCUUGACGUCUUCUGAUUCCUGCCAAAAAUCGACUAAUUUGUUGCUAAGGUAGCAGCAACCAUUUCUGAUGAAGGGCAUUGUUUAUUUCAUGAUGUGUUUGAACUGGGGUGUCCUUUCGCGCACUUCCCGCCCAAUAGUGUCCCAUAUAUGCUCGAUAUGGUUCAAAUCUGGGCUACGAUCCGUCCACGGAAGAUGACCCGAAUUCCAUUGGAACAAUGAAUCUUCCUCCAUGAUGCUAAUUUUCAAUUUUAGCGAGCUCUGCACUACAUUGGAUACGGAAAACUGUGUGUCUGUUCGUGAACAAAGGUCUCCGAAAUAGUCUUAUCGCACGAUAACCAGUAGCGAUGAG